rnacentral:rRNA from 1 species
ACGAACGCUGGCGGCGUGCUUAACACAUGCAAGUCGAACGGUGAACGAGGGAGCUUGCUCCCUCCGGAUCAGUGGCGAACGGGUGAGUAACACGUGAGCAAUCUGCCCCGAACUCUGGGAUAAGCGUUGGAAACGACGUCUAAUACCGGAUACGACGCGGGAGGGCAUCCUCUCCGCGUGGAAAGAACUUCGGUUCGGGAUGAGCUCGCGGCCUAUCAGCUUGUUGGUGAGGUAACGGCUCACCAAGGCGACGACGGGUAGCCGGCCUGAGAGGGUGACCGGCCAAACUGGGACGGGGACACGGCCCAGACGCCGACGGGGGGCAGGGGUGGGGAAAUUUGCACAAGGGGCGAAAGCCGGAUGCAGAAACGCCGGGGGGGGGACGACGGCCUUCGGGUGGUAAACCUCUUUUAGCAGGGAAGAAGCGAAAGGGACGGUACCGGCAAAAAAAGCCCCGGCUAACUACGU